rnacentral:lncRNA from 1 species
AAACGAAUAAAAAGAAAAGGAGAAAGAAAUACACUUGGAUCGGCCCUGGAACCCACCGUCGUUAUCGGUCCUCCGCCGUCGUCGGUUGCGGGUUUAGGGAGGGGCCCAAAGUCUUCUUCUUCUCUCCUUAUUUCCCCUUUCCAUGGUUAUGGUCUCUGAACGCGCUUCAAUGCGCCGAUCGGAGACGACCUCAUGCGACGCCGACUGUUGGCCAUGACUGCUCGGACGGCGGCUCAAGUAGCUGGACAUGGGGAAGGGAGUUGAGAGAAUGAGGGUUUAGUUUUUAG